UACGUAGGGGGCAAGCGUUAUCCGGAUUUACUGGGUGUAAAGGGAGCGUAGACGGAAUUGCAAGUCUGAUGUGAAAAUCCGGGGCCCAACCCCGGAACUGCAUUGGAAACUGUAUUUCUAGAGUGUCGGAGAGGCAAGUGGAAUUCCUGGUGUAGCGGUGAAAUGCGUAGAUAUCGAGAGGAACACUCGUGGCGAAGGCGGGUUCCUGGACAUUAACUGACGCUGAGGCACGAAGGCCAGGGGAGCGAAAGGG
rnacentral:rRNA from 1 species